UUUUGAUAUGAGCGUCACUGAAGAGUCUUAUGUAGACGAAACGCGCGUCUGGCGUACUAAAUUAUAAUCCUGGUACCUUUGAUAACUAUUUACACCACUGGGUCGAUGCCACUGCUGGUGGACGUUUCGUCCCCAAGGGUAUCACCAGCCCAGUAGUUAACACUUCGGUGUUGACAUGAAUAUCAAUAAUGUGGUCAUUUUUAUAAAUUUCCUGUUAACAAAACUUUGAUUUUUUUGAAAAACUAAGGAUUUUCUUAUCCCAGGCAUAGAUUACCAUAGCAUUAUUUGGCACAACUUUUUGGAAUUUUGGAUCCU
rnacentral:lncRNA from 1 species